rnacentral:lncRNA from 1 species
UAUAAACAAAAAGAAUGUUCAUGAUGCAAUCUUUCUUAUGACGCUACAAGGACACAAACAUAAUGAUUAAUUGUAAUGAUCACUGAUUUAGUGAGUCAUCGUUAUAGCGAAGAUUAGACAACAUGGACAACCUUUUUAUAUUGUGAAUUAGUUUGGUUUAACCCAACGACUAAUCAUCAUUUGCCAAGCUGUCAGCCUCCUUAAUUUUUGUCUUAUCACUUUCUCUAUUGUCUUGUUACUUAUCAUCACUCAAAUUUGUUAUUUAUUUCUCUCAUUAAACACCACUAUUAUAUACUUG